GUAGAAGUAGCUUAAUGGUAGAGCAUUAGUCUGUCGACCUAAAAGGUAUGGGUUCAAGUCCCAUCUUCUGCG
rnacentral:tRNA from 1 species